GUGAUUCAUACAAAGGACACAGUGGCAGAUCUAAGAAACUUUGCUGACAAUAUGAAUCACUUGCGCAUUUUCCUUGCAACACUUUCAUUGAUCGUCAUUGUACAAGCUAUGAAGUUCAAGACUUUGACUGAUGAUAUAUCACUUUUAUGAUGUCGAAUGAACCUGCCGUGUUGUACUGGUGAGAGAAAAAUUGUAAUGAUUAUUAUAUAGCUACUACAUCAAAGGAUGCCAGCAUACUGACAAAAAAUGUUCUUAUUCCUGCCCUAUAUCCAUACAUAUUGGAUAUAGCCACUUUUUUCUCCUUCACUGAAAAUAUUUCUACAUUCAAUGACUGGAAAGACAAUGAGUUAAUUCAAUUUUCUAAAGAAAUGAAUAAUGAAUUGCGUUACAAAAUUUGCAUUGUUGGAGUAAAACCUCGGACUGGCGAUAUUUGCAUUUUAUUUUAUUCUUUUCAGCCGCCAUUAUUAUAACUGAACGAAAAAAAUAACUUUCCUCAAAGAUCUAGAUUUUAUACGUUUUUUGUCAGUCAACUUUCAUCUUCUCAUGUAGAAAAAAACGUAAUGUAAUCUUCAGAGAUAAAGGAAGCAACGGUGAGGAUGUUGAAACCGGAACACUUUCAAGUAGAAAAAAAGGGACAAAAUCUUCAGGAUGUUUUUACAAGUCAAAGAUGCAAAGGGUGACAGUAAAUAGUAACUAUUUCAGGAUGAAUUAUGGAUUUCAGAAAUUCCUUUUACACAGUGUAAA